GGACAACACAGGAUGAAUGUUACAACAACAAGGAUUGUACCUGACUGCAAUGCAUUUCAAUGAAAACGCACGUCUGCAGGCAACUAUCUCAUCUGGAGAGCACAUGUAGAUUAUUCUUUCCCAAGUUCAAGAAGGGAGAAGGCACAGCAAAGCCUAUCAGAACUCCCGAAACCCUAAACUGUGCUGUGGAUUCAUCUCCAGUUGUCUCAGACAAGGCCAGCAUCACCACACCACCUCCUGAUGCAAGCGUCUUCACUACACAUCCUGAUGCAUGCGGCUUCACUACACGUCCUGAUGCCACAUCUUCACACCACCUUCUGCACCACAUCUGAACUCAGUCCACACCCAGUGGGAGGUACCCUUCACAACAGGAUCACACGUACUUCCACACAUCUCGCAGAAAGGACGUGCAGGACAAGAUGACUGAUUGCGUAUUUGUGACCCAUCAUAUCAAAAUGAGGGUUAAGUCGAAUUUGGUCAAAAUGACCUAUUUACAUUU